UACGAAGGGUGCAAGCGUUACUCGGAAUUACUGGGCGUAAAGCGUGCGUAGGCGGUUUGUUAAGUCCGUUGUGAAAGCCCUGGGCUCAACCUGGGAAUUGCAGUGGAUACUGGCGAGCUAGAGUGCGGUAGAGGAUGGUGGAAUUCCCGGUGUAGCGGUGAAAUGCGUAGAGAUCGGGAGGAACACCCGUGGCGAAGGCGGCCAUCUGGACCAGCACUGACGCUG
rnacentral:rRNA from 1 species